UACGUAGGGUGCAAGCGUUGUCCGGAAUUAUUGGGCGUAAAGAGCUCGUAGGCGGCUUGUCGCGUCGACUGUGAAAACCUGGGGCUCAACCCCGGGCGUGCAGUGGAUACGGGCUGGCUAGAGGCAGGCAGGGGAGAACGGAAUUCCCGGUGUAGCGGUGAAAUGCGCAGAUAUCGGGAGGAACACCGGUGGCGAAGGCGGUUCUCUGGGCCUGUACUGACGCUGAGGAGCGAAAGCGUGGGGAGCGAACAGG
rnacentral:rRNA from 1 species